GAGGAGCGGCGGGCGCCGCUGGUGACGGCCCAUUAUUACUUUUGGUACGCGCUGUGACACUUCAAACUCGUACCGUGAGUAAUAAUGCGCUGUGGCCAGCACGGGCAUCACGCAGCAAA
rnacentral:pre_miRNA from 12 species